rnacentral:rRNA from 1 species
CAGUCGAGCGGAACGAUCCUAGCUUGCUAGGAGGCGUCGAGCGGCGGACGGGUGAGUAAUGCAUAGGAAUCUGCCCGGUAGUGGGGGAUAACUUGAGGAAACUCAAGCUAAUACCGCAUACGCCCUACGGGGGAAAGCAGGGGCUCUUCGGACCUUGCGCUAUCGGAUGAGCUUAUGUCGGAUUAGCUGGUUGGUGAGGUAACGGCUCACCAAGGCGACGAUCCGUAGCUGGUCUGAGAGGAUGAUCAGCCACAUCGGGACUGAGACACGGCCCGAACUCCUACGGGAGGCAGCAGUGGGGAAUAUUGGACAAUGGGGGCAACCCUGAUCCAGCCAUGCCGCGUGUGUGAAGAAGGCCCUCGGGUUGUAAAGCACUUUCAGCGAGGAAGAAUGCUUGUCGGUUAAUACCCGGCAAGGGAGACAUCACUCGCAGAAGAAGCACCGGCUAACUCCGUGCCAGCAGCCGCGGUAAUACGGAGGGUGCGAGCGUUAAUCGGAAUUACUGGGCGUAAAGCGUGCGUAGGCGGCUUGAUAAGCCGGUUGUGAAAGCCCCGGGCUCAACCUGGGAACGGCAUCCGGAACUGUUAGGCUAGAGUGCAGGAGAGGAAGGUAGAAUUCCCGGUGUAGCGGUGAAAUGCGUAGAGAUCGGGAGGAAUACCAGUGGCGAAGGCGGCCUUCUGGACUGACACUGACGCUGAGGUACGAAAGCGUGGGUAGCAAACAGGAUUAGAUACCCUGGUAGUCCACGCCGUAAACGAUGUCGACUAGCCGUUGGGGUCCUCGAGACCUUUGUGGCGCAGUUAACGCACUAAGUCGACCGCCUGGGGAGUACGGCCGCAAGGUUAAAACUCAAUGAAUUGACGGGGGCCCGCACAAGCGGUGGAGCAUGUGGUUUAAUUCGAUGCAACGCGAAGAACCUUACCUACCCUUGACAUCGUGCGAACUUUCCAGAGAUGGAUUGGUGCCUUCGGAGCGCACAGACAGGUGCUGCAUGGCUGUCGUCAGCUCGUGUUGUGAAUG